UACAGAGGGUGCGAGCGUUAAUCGGAAUUAUUGGGCGUAAAGGGCUCGUAGGCGGUCUGUCGCGUCGAUCGUGAAAACUUGGGGCUUAACCCUGAGCUUGCGGUCGAUACGGGCAUGACUGGAGUUCGGCAGGGGAGACUGGAAUUCCUGGUGUAGCGGUGAAAUGCGCAGAUAUCAGGAGGAACACCGGUGGCGAAGGCGGGUCUCUGGGCCGAUACUGACGCUGAGGAGCGAAAGCGUGGGGAGCGAACAGG
rnacentral:rRNA from 1 species